rnacentral:rRNA from 1 species
UCAUCUUGGCGGGGUGCAAUGUGGUGUUUGGGAGGGUCCAUUCGUGCCUUGAGCCCAGGUGUCCAAGUCCCCCUGACUGGGGCCAUCGCCCGUUGAGGGUGCAAGGCCUGUCGGGCCGGGCUGAGUCUCCAGGUCUCGGCGCGUUGGGUCCCUUCCUUGGAGUCGGGUUGCUUGAGAGUGCAGCCCAAAGUGGGUGGUAAACUCCACCUAAGGCUAAAUACCUGCCACGAGACCGAUAGCAAACAAGUACCGUGAGGGAAAGUUGCAAAGAACUUUGAAGAGAGAGUUCAAGAGUGCGUGAAACCGCUCGGAGGUAAACGGGUGGGAGCGCGAAAGUCGAACGGAAGGGGAGGGAUUCAACUUGGCGUGGCUGGCCGGCGGGGUGCGCGCGUGAGCUGACUGGUGUCACCCGUCCCAUUCACUUGGCGCAAUAAAAGUGAAGGCCCUGUGCGCUUGGUGGCUGUCCCCCUUCCGUUGACCCACACCGCCGACUUGUCGGCAGGGAGGGAGCGGUUGGGCCGGGCGGCCGUCCGAGAGCCGGGCCUGGGUGGGAUCCCCCGUCUUGAGGCGGGGGCGCACCACC